AUUUAGAUAAAUAAGUUUGUUAGGUUUUUGUGUGAGUAAUUGAGAGUGGGGCCCAUUAGUAUGACUAUUUAAGGGAUAUGAGUGAAUUAGAAAGAGAGAAAUCAGAAUUUGAGAAUUGGAGAAGUUAGCAGAGGAGAAGAAAAGAAGCGUGAAAGAGAGAAGGGGAGAAAAGAGAAGAAUAAACCUAGAAUUUGAUCUUCAAGAGGUACAGGAGGUAGAGAUGUGGCUCAUGAGGAGUAGCUUCGGAGAGUCUUAGCUUAUGUUAUUAUUAUUAUUAUUAUAAAAUAAGUGUCUUGCUCUGUAAUGUAACACUGGUUAGAUAUUUUACGUUACUUUUACAUUUAUGUUGAGAGGAUUUUAUAAUCUCUUCUUAUGGAAGUUGUUGAAUAAUUUUCUAAAUGAUGGCGAUGUCGUACUGUUGACGGCCGAAGUGCUUAUGAAAUUCAGUUCUGAGUA